AAUAGUGUGAGGAGCAAGUUGAAAUUAAGAGCGCUUAGAGUGGAAACACGGUAACACUUCUGAGCGCUUUUUA
rnacentral:sRNA from 14 species